ensembl:lncRNA
GUGAAAGUUGCCUUAAAAUCUCUCCUUGAAAUACAACAAAGUUUGAUACUUUUAACCUCUGUGAGAUUCCCAACACAUUUUGUUGAAAUGAUUUAUUUACUUAUGUGUCAUAUUGUUGUCUUUAUUUGAAGAAUUCAGCGUGAAGCCUACCACAUACCAUAUGACUAAUAAUUGUGUCUUGAAUGAAUAUUUGAACAAAUGAAUAAAUCAGUCAAACUGGGUCCCUGGACCAUGCAGAGAACAACUGUCCCUUCCUCUUUGGUGGUUUCCUCACAACUCUUGAGGUGCUCCUUGUCUGUGGCACAGAGGUGCAGACCAAGUCACUGGGACAUGGCCAAUGGAAUGUUUCCACGGCAACAGUGGCAGCAAUUCAGGACACUGCGCCAGAGGAGUAAAAUUCCUGUCUAGCUCAGCAGUUCUAAAGGGGAGCAAAGCCUCCUGGGCACUAUUUGGACAGAGAGAGACGGGCUUUCGAGUUUUGGUGGAGUUUGGACAGACCGAGCAUCUACUGCAGGUGGGUGGUCUAAAUAAUCUGCAGACAGUUUAACUCCUUGCAGUCUUGGGUCCUGGAAUAUGCCUAACAUUUCAAAAUCAGCUUGGUUCUGGAGGCACAAAGUUUAGAAUCAAAGAUGAUUUCAUUCAAACAAGGAGAAGCAGCUGAAGCCAAGUUCCCAGAGGGAGCUGUUUUUCCUCAGACUUCCUCUAUUCGACUUUCUUGAGCCAAAGAAAGUAUUUAAAUAAAUAACAAAGCCUACAUGUUUUAACUAGUGUGAAGCCCUCUUCCUGAGGCUCUCCUCUCCCUGCUCUCAAGCUUUGUAAUGUCUGUUGGGAGAGGGAGGGAGGGCAGAGGAGAAACAGGGGUUGCUUCCAGUGACCAAACCCACAAGCUAAAGUCAUAAAGACCUAAGUAGGAGGAAAAAAAAUUGGACUUCAGGUUUAGGAUUACAUAAAUGUGUCCAAUUCUAUGAUAAAAAGGGAGGAAGUGGGACAUAUGUGUCAGGGAUGAAAAC